GUCCACGCCGUAAAACGAUGGACACUAGACGUCGGGGGGAGCGACCCUCCCGGUGUCGUCGCUAACGCAGUAAGUGUCCCGCCUGGGGAGUACGGCCGCAAGGCUGAAACUCAAAGGAAUUGACGGGGGCCCGCACAAGCGGUGGAGCAUGUGGUUUAAUUCGAAGCAACGCGAAGAACCUUACCUGGGCUUGACAUGCUGGUGAAAGCCGGUGGAAACAUCGGCCCCUCUUCGGAGCGCCAGCACAGGUGCUGCAUGGCUGUCGU
rnacentral:rRNA from 1 species